rnacentral:tRNA from 1 species
CCGUCCGUAGCUCAGUCGGUAGAGCAAGCGACUUUUAAUCGAGAGGUCCCGGGUUCGAGCCCCGGCGGACCCACCA